ACUGGUAAAAGCUAUAAUGUUCAGUGGCAUAUACCUGAACCAUUGACAGGGGAUGACAAAGUUCAAAUCAACUUGGUAAACAAUAAAGGGAAAUGUUACAGUAAAAUAAUAGUCAUGAACAAGAGCAUGUAAUUACUGUUACAGUUAUCAUCCAUGUUAAAAGUUUCAAGUCUAGCAAAUGUAUCCUCCUAUCAAACCUGCAGAGUUGAACCAUUGAGUCCUAUGAGCCAACGUUCACUUCAGGUGAACGAACACCUUCUUCCCCGAUAAAGAGAGGGGAGAUAGCCAAGUAGGAAAUGGCCUGUACAUCCUAUCUUUCCAGCUUUACUCCAAGUUUACAGAAGAGCAUUGAAAAAUAAGCUCUUUGGAUGAGAAGCACUAAAAGGAGCGACCAAUAACCCCAUCGCUUUCUAACAUUAUACACAGUUACGUAAGAUGAGACUUGUACGAGGAAGAACAAAAAAGAUGAAGAAAAGUUGAAAGGGAAGGAAGGAGAAGGAAAAGGCAGGGAGAAAGGAAAAAGAAACACAAGUUAGAAGAGGAAGAAGGAGCUUUAUGCAUUAAAAUGAAGCCCCACAUACCCUUGCUUCUAGCCUUCAACAUUUCUACUGGCAUGGAGGUAAAGCACGACGUUGUGUUCUGAAAAAAGCAGCCAGAUGGUGAUCUUGAGAACUAUAGGCAGUUGUGGCAUCUUAGCAUCUCCACUAACAGCUUACAGAUUCAGGAUUUAUUUGUCCACUGCUUACACCAUGAGCAUUGAAUCCAGUUACAGGCAUGGACCUCUGAGCAAAAUUCAACAACAGCUUCCUCUGGUGUUCAUUCGUGUGUGGGAGACUAGCACGUAAGAGUUCGACUGGCAUUUCUCUGCUUACAGCUCUUGCAGCUUCUGAACCAAUCAGUUCUGUGUUUGACUGGGCUGGUGACAUGAGCGAUUGCAUUAUAGAGUCAUACUUACUCAAACAAUACUUAGUAAGUAAACCAAAGAAGGCAUCAAAAGAUGCCUGCCAAAGGGCAGGGUUAGGCAUGCUCAAGCCGCUAACAGUCUGAGGAUCAGUCAAGAGAUGAGUUGCCCUUUCAAGAACAGAUUUAAG
rnacentral:misc_RNA from 1 species